UUGCGCGAAGUAUGGUGGCUUGUGCCGAGAGGACGACCUAUUUGGGACAAUUGUGCGGCUUUUGGCUGCAUCUCAA
rnacentral:rRNA from 1 species